CAUUCAAAAUACAGAUUUAAAAGCUCAUGAAUAAAAAUUAUGAACAUACUGAAUCUUGUGAGUUUGGAACAGAACACUGAAGUACAUAAAAGAUUCAAAUCCAGGGGCUGGGGACAUAGCUCAGUGGUAUGGUAUGUCCCCAGCUAUGAGAGGACCUGAGUUCUAGGCCAUCCUUAAUGUUUCUUGUUUGGGUCCUCCUGCAUUUUCUGUUUCUUUAUGGUUUCCAGUUUCAUCUGCUUUCUUCCUUGAAAAAGAAGAAAAGAAAAGAAAAAGAGAAGAAAAUGUCACAAUGUGUCUCCAAAGGGAAAACCCGCAAAGCUGGUGUCACAGUAAUACCUCUGAUGAGAAAAAUCAGAAGCCAAGCCACAUCCUUCCUCCUCAGUCCAGGCCCCCCCUGGUGGUCUGUCACACCAGGCCCCCGACUGCCUGCCCCAUACAUACCUUUCCCUCUCUCAGAUGUCCCCACCAUUUAGGGAUGAGAUUAAGGCACGAUGUGGUGACUCAAAAGCUGAGUCAGCAAAGCACGGACCCUGCGUGAAUGAAACUCACAACUCACAGGCCAGCAAAGGCCAAAGCACAGGAGCAGGCUUGUUCCUCGCCGAGAACUUCUUCACAUCAGGUCCUGGCUGUUCCCUGUCACCCAUCUCCAUAGCUGAGAAAGUACGUGGGCUAGGAGGUGCUGAAGGGGCCCUUGGGGGCAGCCACGGGAGAGUUCUGAGGGACCAGAGCUUAGACCCCACAGCAAGGACAGCCCUGUGGCCUGCCUUUCUUGCAGCUGAUGUUCCGACUAGCUGAGUCCACAUGGAGCACCCAGGGAUGGCUUUCUCCUAUCAACCCACCACCCAGAGAACAGAGAAGUCAUUUGCUUCUGACUGUCACACAGUGGCUAGGUCCCAUCUCCUCUACUGCAAGCCCAGAGCCUCUGUGGUAAGGCAGGACACGGCACCCACACAUGGAUUAUAAGUUACCCAGACAGAUGUUGAAGGGUCACCAAACCCUACCGUGCGCGCACACACACACACACACACACACACACACACACACACACACACCAUGCCCAUAAGAGACCUAGUGCUUUACCUCCUACACACACACACACACACACACACACACACACACACAUCAUGCCCAUGCAGAGGCCUAGUGCUUUACCUCCUACACACACACACACACCAUACCCAUGCAGAGACCUAAUACUAUACCUCCUACACACACACACACACACACACACACACCAUGCCCAUAAGAGACCUAAUACUAUACCUCCUACACACACACACACACACACACACCAUACCCAUGCAGAGACCUAAUACUAUACCUCCUACACACACACACACACACAGACACACACACACAUACACAUCAUGCCCAUGCAGAGGCCUAGUACUAUACCUCCUAUACACACACACACACACACACACACACACACACACACACACACACGCGUGCACACACCAUGCCCAUGCAGAGACCUAGUACUAUACCACCUAUCUCAACCCCACAAGUGCUGCAUACGGCACAUGCACGAAGCAUGCAUGGCAGAAGAGUUCAAGAGGCGUGAACAAGAUGUUUGCUGCCCUGCUGUGCUGGGUUCACCCGCAAGGAAUCACCGAUGUAGUCUGAAGCAUUCGCAGCAAGCCAGGCACCAUCUGCUGUUCCAUCGCACUGACCGGAAGAAGGCAUCGGAGAGACCACGUGGAGCUCACUCUGGACCGUCAGUGGAUACAGCCGGAGGAUAGAGUGGACAGAGAUCCCAAGCGAGGGAACACACAGACCACGGUGUUAGGCAAAUAGCUGUUUUCCUGGGCUGGUGAAUGAUGAGGACCAGACGUCACCACGGAGAUGGCCGCCUGCCAUGCUCGGUGGAGCCUUUGCAUAAAGAUAGCAUCUAAUCUGCAUUCGUGCCUGGAUUCGCUGAAAUCACAUGGAGGCUGAACUCAUUUUAUUCACAAUGCCACGGGAACGAUCGCCAAAAAGGAUCCGGUGAAGGCAGCAUAUAUCACACGCUUCUUAAACCCCGUCGCCAGCAAGUGACAACGGCCUCACCACUCAGUCACUGAGAUUAAAAAUUAGUCAGACGUGGAAAAUGGAAACAGGGCUUCAGAAAGAGGAGGGAUGCUUGCGCUGAAUAAUGCCCCCUCUUUUGCGUAGUAAAUAAAUGAUACAUAUUUCCUGAUGA